GGGUGGAACUUGGUUCUCCUUGGAUGGUGCGAGCAGCACAAAACCCUCACAAGUUUUCUUUCCGCAACCAAAGCCGACUCCUCUUCACACGUGGAUAGCGUGCGGUCGACAGAGCAGCAGGCACUGAUCUCUUGUGACAGCUGCUCCUGAGGCUGGCUGCGGAAGGGAUCGUCAUCGGGCAGCGAUGGGAGGAGGACAAUAUUUAAGCGCUCCCAUAACACACUUGCCCGACUGUACUGCUGGAACGUGACACACAAGGAACGGGAUCCAGAAGCUGCCUGAAUCAACUUAAAAGAACUGGACAAAGCCACGAGGGGGGAAUCAGAGGGGGGAAAGGUGACAGCAACCUAUCCUUUCUCUCACUUGCUCUAGGCUAUGAUCUUCCGUCUGAAGUGUUUAACCCCAGGGUACUUCCGCCUCCUACAAAUGCAACUGGCCAGUGGACUGGAGUCGGAACCUCAAGACCGGCUGCUGAAUCACCUGGCUCUACUGCUGGCCAUUAUGGGAUUAAGCCUCUCCUAUUACAGUGCCAGGCAAAUGAGUGAAGAGACUAAACCAAAUCCGGAACCUUGAUGCUUGGGCUGCCAAGCAGCAGCUGCAUGGGCCAAAGAGGACUCCAGGAACGCAUGGAAAAGAAACAAGGUUGGAGAGAGACCCUGGCACGCACUCUGCGGCACAAGCAGCAUCCUAUAGGUAUCCUGUGCAUGCGCCGGCUGGGUGGCUCACAUUAGAAAGCUCAGCGCCAUCUUUCCUUGUUCUUUCACAGACGGUGUGUUCCUAGUGCCCCUUCUGGCCAUGCCAGUUUCAUUCUCUCCUCUUGGAUCCUCCUGGUCAACCCAGCUAUUGCCCAACUUGCUUCAUUCUAGUUUCAGGGGGCCACUACCAAUGUUGCAGCCCCCUGCCCCAAUUUACCCCUUGAUCUGAUCCUCAUUCAAAGCCCAGAAAUGGAUUUAAACCAGGAUGGCCACGCAGGAAGGAAACUGAAGAGCUGACCUCAUUGGUUGGGUACAAUAUUGCCUUAGCUUGUCACAGGAAGCUUUCUGCCUGGGCAUGUUAAGAUUGCCCUCCGGGGGAUGCAGCAGGGAAUUAUUAUUAUUAU